GAUGAACGCUGGCGGCGUGCCUAAUACAUGCAAGUCGAGCGAACGGACGAGAAUCUUGCUUCUCUCAUGUUAGCGGCGGACGGGUGAGUAACACGUGGAUAACCCACCUAUAAGACUGGGAUAACUUCGGGAAACCGGAGCUAAUACUGGAUGAUAUUUUGAACCGCAUGGUUCAAGAGUGAAUGACGGUCUUGCUGUCACUUAUCGAUGGAUCCGCGCUGUAUUAGCUAGUUGGUAAGGUAACGGCUUACCAAGGCAACGAUGCAUAGCCGACCUGAGCGGGUGAUGGGCGACACUGGAGGUGAGCGGCGGUACAGACUCCUACGGGAGGCAGAAGUAGGGAAUCUUCCGAGAUGGGCGAAAGACUGACGGAGCAACGCCGCGUGAGUGAUGAAGGUCUUCGGAUCGUAAAACGCUGUUAUUGGGGAAGAACAUAUGAGUAAGUAACUGAGCACAGCUUGACGGUACCUAAUCAAGAAGCAACGGCUAACUACGUG
rnacentral:rRNA from 1 species